rnacentral:snRNA from 1 species
GUGAUUGCUUCAGCUGCACAUAUACUAAAAUUGGAAUGAUACAGAGGAGAUUAGCAUGACAGGCAAAUUUGUGAAGCAUUCUAUAGAUUU